UACGAAGGGUGCUAGCGUUGUUCGGAAUCACUGGGCGUAAAGGGCGCGUAGGCGGCUUUUCAAGUCGGGGGUGAAAGCCUGUGGCUCAACCACAGAAUUGCCUUCGAUACUGUUAGGCUUGAGACCGGAAGAGGUGAGUGGAACUGCGAGUGUAGAGGUGAAAUUCGUAGAUAUUCGCAAGAACACCAGUGGCGAAGGCGGCUCACUGGUCCGGUACUGACGCUGAGACGCGAAAGCGUGGGGAGCAAACAGG
rnacentral:rRNA from 1 species